AGGACGAACGCUGGCGGCGUGCCUAACACAUGCAAGUCGAGCGGGGACUUAUGAAUGAAGUUUUCGGAUGGAGUUGAUAAGUUCUAGCGGCGGACGGGUGAGUAACGCGUGAGCAACCUGCCCUUCACAGGGGGAUAACACAGCGAAAGCUGUACUAAUACCGCAUGAGACCACAGAGCUGACAUGGCAAAGGGGUCAAAGGAGAGAUCCGGUGAAGGAUGGGCUCGCGUCUGAUUAGCUGGUUGGUGAGGUAACGGCCCACCAAGGCGACGAUCAGUAGCCGACCUGAGAGGGUGAUCGGCCACAUUGGAACUGAGAGACGGUCCAAACUCCUACGGGAGGCAGCAGUGGGGAAUAUUGGGCAAUGGGCGAAAGCCUGACCCAGCAACGCCGCGUGAAGGAAGAAGGUUUUCGGAUCGUAAACUUCUAUCCUUGGUGAAAAUAAUGAUGGUAGCCAAGAAGGUAGCCCCGGCUAACUACGUGCCAGCAGCCGCGGUAAUACGUAGGGGGCAAGCGUUGUCCGGAAUGAUUGGGCGUAAAGGGCGCGUAGGCGGCCAACUAAGUCUGAAGUGAAACUCCUGCUUUUAAGGCAGGAACUGCUUUGGAUACUGGAUGGCUUGAGUGCAGGAGAGGUAAGCGGAAUUCCCGGUGUAGCGGUGAAAUGCGUAGAGAUCGGGAGGAACACCAGUGGCGAAGGCGGCUUACUGGACUGUAACUGACGCUGAGGCGCGAAAGUGUGGGGAGCAAACAGGAUUAGAUACCCUGGUAGUCCACACUGUAAACGAUGAGUGCUAGGUGUAGGGGGUAUCGACCCCUUCUGUGCCGGAGUAAACACAAUAAGCACUCCGCCUGGGGAGUACGGCCGCAAGGUUGAAACUCAAAUGAAUUGACGG
rnacentral:rRNA from 1 species